AGGUGCAGUGGCCUAAUGGUUGGGGGAUUUGACUUUGGAUCAAGGGGUCUGAGUUCGAGCCACCCAGGUGUCUA